GCACUUUCAGUCGUGAGGAAGGUAGUGUAGUUAAUAGCUGCAUUAUUUGACGUUUAGCGACAGAAGAAGCACCGGCUAACUCCGUGCCAGCAGCCGCGGUAAUACGGAGGGUGCGAGCGUUAAUCGGAAUUACUGGGCGUAAAGACGCAUGCAGGUGGUUUGGUUUAAGUUCAGAUGUGAAAGACCCGGGGCGUCAACCUCGGAAUAGCAUUUGUAAACUAGGCAGACUAGAGUACUGUAGAGGGGGGUAGGGAAGUUUCUAGGUGUAGCGGUGAAAUAGCGUAGAGAUCUGAAGGAAUACCGGUGGCGAAGGCGGCCCCCUCGGACAGAUACUGACACUCAGAUGCGAAAGCGUGGGGAGCAAACAGGAUUAGAUACCCUGGUAG
rnacentral:rRNA from 1 species